GGCGCGGUAGCCAAGCGGUAAGGCUCCGGUCUGCAACACCGUCAUCACCGGUUCGAAUCCGGUCCGUGCCU
rfam:Roseburia intestinalis XB6B4 draft genome.